rnacentral:rRNA from 1 species
GCCUGUUAGGUGGGGAUAACGUUCCGAAAGGAACGCUAAUACCGCAUACGUCCUACGGGAGAAAGCGAGGGGACCUUCGGGCCUUGCGCUAACAGAUGACGCCCAGGUCGGAUUAGCUAGUUGGUGGGUAAAGGCUCACCAAGGCGACGAUCCGUAGCUGGUCUGAGAGGAUGAUCAGCCACACUGGAACUGAGACACGGUCCAGACUCCUACGGGAGGCAGCAGGUGGGGAAUAUUGGACAAUGGGCGAAAGCCUGAUCCAGCCAUGCCGCGUGUGUGAAGAAGGCCUUCGGGUUGUAAAGCACUUUAAGCGGGGAGGAAGUACUUGGGGCUAAUACCCCUGAGUGUUGACGUUACCCGCAGAAUAAGCACCGGCUAACUCUGUG